GAUGAACGCUGGCGGCGUGCCUAAUACAUGCAAGUCGAGCGAACGGACGAGAAGCUUGCUUCUCUGAUGUUAGCGGCGGACGGGUGAGUAACACGUGGAUAACCUACCUAUAAGACUGGGAUAACUUCGGGAAACCGGAGCUAAUACCGGAUAAUAUUUUGAACCGCAUGGUUCAAAAGUGAAAGACGGUCUUGCUGUCACUUAUAGAUGGAUCCGCGCUGCAUUAGCUAGUUGGUAAGGUAACGGCUUACCAAGGCAACGAUGCAUAGCCGACCUGAGAGGGUGAUCGGCCACACUGGAACUGAGACACGGUCCAGACUCCUACGGGAGGCAGCAGUAGGGAAUCUUCCGCAAUGGGCGAAAGCCUGACGGAGCUACGCCGCGUGAGUGAUGAAGGUCUUCGGAUCGUAAAACUCUGUUAUUAUGGAAGAACAUAUGUGUAAGUAACUGUGCACAUCUUGACGGUACCUAAUCAGAAAGCCACGGCUAACUACGUG
rnacentral:rRNA from 1 species